CGCGUAGGCGGUUUUUAAGUCAAAUGUGAAAGCCCGGGCUCAACUCCGGAAGUGCAUUUGAUACUGAGGAACUUGAGUAUGGGAGAGGGAAGCGGAAUUCCUGGUGUAGCGGUGAAAUGCGUAGAUAUCAGGAGGAACACCGGUGGCGAAGGCGGCUUCCUGGACCAAUACUGACGCUGAGGCGCGAAGGCGUGGGGAGCAAACA
rnacentral:rRNA from 1 species